UCCCUGGUGGCUCAGAGGGUAAAGAAUCUGCCUGCAAUGCAAGAGACCCAGGUUCGAUUCCUGGUCAGGAAG
rnacentral:tRNA from 1 species